rnacentral:rRNA from 1 species
UACGAAGGGGGCUAGCGUUGUUCGGAAUCACUGGGCGUAAAGCGCGUGUAGGUGGGUAUGCAAGCCAGGGGUGAAAGCCCAGAGCUCAACUCUGGAAUUGCCUUUGGAACUGCAUAUCUAGAGUCUUGUAGGGGGUAGUGGAAUUCCUAGUGUAGAGGUGGAAUUCGUAGAUACUAGGAGGAACACCGGUGGCGAAGGCGGCUACCUGGACGAGAACUGACACUGAGACGCGAAAGCGGGGGGAUCAAACAGG